UACGAAGGGGGCUAGCGUUGCUCGGAAUUACUGGGCGUAAAGGGCGCGUAGGCGGCUGUGUUAGUCAGGCGUGAAAUUCCUGGGCUCAACCUGGGGACUGCGCUUGAUACGGCAUGGCUAGAGUGUGGAAGAGGGUCGUGGAAUUCCCAGUGUAGAGGUGAAAUUCGUAGAUAUUGGGAAGAACACCGGUGGCGAAGGCGGCGACCUGGUCCAUUACUGACGCUGAGGCGCGACAGCGUGGGGAGCAAACAGG
rnacentral:rRNA from 1 species